rnacentral:rRNA from 1 species
UACGAAGGGGGGCUAGCGUUGCUCGGAAUCACUGGGCGUAAAGGGUGCGUAGGCGGGUUUUUAAGUCAGAGGUGAAAUCCUGGGAGCUCAACUCCAGAACUGCCUUUGAUACUGAAAGUCUUGAGUAUGGGAGAGGUGAGUGGAACUGCGAGUGUAGAGGUGAAAUUCGUAGAUAUUCGCAAGAACACCAGUGGCGAAGGCGGCUCACUGGCCCGGUACCUGACGCUGAGGUCGCGAAAGCGUGGGGAGCAAACAGGG